rnacentral:misc_RNA from 1 species
GCAAACUUGGUCAUUUAGAGGAAGUAAAAGUCGUAACAAGGUUUCCGUAGGUGAACCUGCGGAAGGAUCAUUAUCGAAUGAACAUGGAUGGGUUGUUGCUGGCUUUGAGGAGCAAAUGUGCACGCCCAUUCUAUUCAUUUCAAUCACCUUGUGCAUCCUUUGUAGACCCUAAACAGUUCGAGGACAACUCGGUUAGAGAAAGUGCUGCAUUAGUGACAAUUCGGCUUUUCUUGAUGUUUCUGGUCUAUGUUUUUGCCAUAUACUCCUGUAAAACAAUGUAUUGGACAAAAAUGCCUAGGCCUUUUAUAGUGCCUUUGAUAUAUAAAUACAACUUUCAACAACGGAUCUCUUGGCUCUCGCAUCGAUGAAGAACGCAGC